rnacentral:rRNA from 1 species
GAUGAACGCUAGCUACAGGCCUAACACAUGCAAGUCGAGGGACCGGCGCACGGGUGAGUAACACGUAUCCAACCUGCCCUUUACUCGGGGAUAGCCGUUCGAAAGAAAGAUUAAUACCCAAUAUAAAGAACGGGGAUGCGUUCCAUUAUGUUGUUGGUGAGGUACCGGCUCACCAAGCCUUCGAUGGCUAGGGGUUCUGAGAGGUAGGUCCCCCACAUAUGAAAUGAGACACGGUCCAAACUGCUACGGGAGGGAGGAGUGUGGAAUACUGGUCAAUGGGCGGUAGCCUGACCCAGCCGAGUAGCGUGAAGGAUGAAGGGGUAUGAGUCGUCAUUUUCUCUUAUAUAAGAAGAUUUAUUAUAUGAAUAAGGAUCGGCUAACUCCGUGCCAGCAGCCGCGGUAAUUC